rnacentral:rRNA from 1 species
UACGAAGGGGGCGAGCGUUGUUCGGAUUUACUGGGCGUAAAGCGCACGUAGGCGGGUCUUUAAGUCAGGGGUGAAAUCCUGGAGCUCAACUCCAGAACUGCCUUUGAUACUGAGGAUCUCGAGUCCGGGAGAGGUGAGUGGAAACUCCGAGUGUAGAGGUGAAAUUCGUAGAUAUUCGGAAGAACACCAGUGGCGAAGGCGGCUCACUGGCCCGGUACUGACGCUGAGGUGCGAAAGCGUGGGGAGCAAACAGG